AAGACACUAGUAAAAUGAAAUUACAUUUCCUUGUCGGGGAAGAGUUGUGAGUUAAACCCCCACGUGUCUUA
rnacentral:tRNA from 1 species